ACGGAGGUAAAGAAAGUGAGGCAAAUGGAGUUUGUUGCCUUCACUGAAACUCGCCUCCAAAAUCAACCAGCAGAGAGAAUAUCCUUGGCUUGGAGUGAAAAACCUUGGAUAGCUGCAUUUGCUUACAAAG
ensembl:snoRNA